rnacentral:rRNA from 1 species
GACGAACGCUGGCGGCGUGCCUAAUACAUGCAAGUGGGACGCAAGGACACACACUGUGCUUGCACACCGUGUUUUCUUGAGUCGCGAACGGGUGAGUAACGCGUAGGUAACCUGCCUAUUAGCGGGGGAUAACUACUGGAAACGAUAGCUAAUACCGCAUAAUAUUAAUUAUUGCAUGAUAAUUGAUUGAAAGAUGCAAGCGCAUCACUAGUAGAUGGACCGGCGUUGUAUUAGCUAGUUGGUAAGGUAAGAGCUUACCAAGGCGACGAUACAUAGCCGACCUGAGAGGGUGAUCGGCCACACUGGGACUGAGACACGGCCCAGACUCCUACGGGAGGCAGCAGUAGGGAAUCUUCGGCAAUGGACGAAAGUCUGACCGAGCAACGCCGCGGGAGUGAAGAAGGCUUUCGGAUCGUAAAGCUCGGUUGUACGUCAAGAACGUGUGUGGGAGUGGAAAGUUCACACAGUGACGGUAGCUUACCAGAAAGGGACGGCUAACUACGUG